CGUAACACGUAAGCAACCUGCCCGAAAGACCGGGACAACAGCUCGAAAGGGCUGCUAAUACCGGAUGUGUCCGCCCUUUCACAUGGAGGGGCGAGUAAAUCAUUUAUGGCUUUCGGAGGGGCUUGCGGCCUAUCAGCUAGAUGGCGAGGUAACGGCUCACCGUGGCGACGACGGGUAGCUGGUCUGAGAGGAUGGUCAGCCGGACUGGGACUGAGAUACGGCCCAG
rnacentral:rRNA from 1 species